rnacentral:antisense_RNA from 1 species
CUUCACCGAGCCGAGGAGCAGCGGCUUCUCGCGGUUCUGGCCGUAGGUGGCCAGCAGCGCCUGGGCCUC